UGCCCGCUAGCACAACUGGUAGUUGCGCCGGUUUCUGGUACCGGAGGUUCCAGGUUCGAAUCCUGGGCGGGCAG
rnacentral:tRNA from 2 species